rnacentral:rRNA from 1 species
AAGGGCAAGCUGAGAUUAAGGAUUAAGCCAUGCAUGCCAAGUAUAAGCUAAUAUGUGGUGAAACUGCGAACGGCUCAUUAAAUCAGUUGAAACGUGUGGUACUUUAUGCGUAGUCGGCUAAUACGGGCAACUCUCUUACUAAUCGUGCUUCGUUACAUCAUUGGUGGGGCAACCCGGGUUGAGUUACGCUGUAAAAAUGACUGCAAGGCAGGUACCGUCAGCUUCUGACGCAUCAUCAGGUAGGAGGCGUAAGGGGCGUCCUAUGGUGUCACGCGUACGGGGAAUUAGGGUUCGACUCCGGAGAAUGAGCAUGAGAGACGGCUCAUAGUUCUAAGGGAGGCAGCAGGCGCGGAAAUUGCCCAAUGUGCAAGCGCACGAGGCAGUGACGAGGAAUCUCGAGCAGGCUUCGGCCUGUAUUAAGCUGAGGAGGGCGUAGAUGCCCCUCCGAACGCGAUUAGUGGGAGAGCAUGGUGCCAGCAGCCGCGGUAAUUCCAUCACUGAAAGCUUUUCCUUACGUUGUUGCAGUUAAAAAGCUCGAAGCCGUUGCUAGAGAAAUCGUGUCACUUUGAGAAAACAGGAGUGUUCAUAACAGGGUUUCCGCUGCACAGCUCAGCAAAGCAUGACAAGCCCGGUCCGGUCGCGCGGCCCGGGACGUACCAUAUGGCGGCGCGGGACUGGUAGUAUUUGGCGGGGACAGGUGAAAUAGGAUGAUCCGCCAAGGACUCUCAAGAGCGAAGGCAGCCGGUAAGCGCCGUCCAGUUGGUCAAGAGCGAAAGUGUGAGGAUAGACGAUGAUUAGAGACCGUUUUAUUUCACGCCUUAAACGAUACCAUCUCGGAAGCGGGCCUGCAGGCUCGCAUCCCAAGGGAAACCGCAAGGUUUCGGGUUCUGGGGGGAGUAUGAUUGCAAGAUUGAAACUUGAAGGUAUUGACGGAAAGAUACUACAAGACGUGGAGUCUGCGGCUUAAUUUGACUCAACACGCCAAUCUUACCAGACCCAGAUGCUUUUUGGAGCAACAGAUUGAGAGUUCUUUUGCGAUUGGGCAGUUGGUGGUGCAUGGCCGCUCCUAGUUCGUGGUGUAAACUGUCUGCCUUAUUGCGUUAACGAGCGAGACAACCGUCCCAAGUCUUGGGAGAGCGCCAGCGCCGAGCUGGACGAACGCGGUUGCACUAGCAGGUCUGUGAUGCCCUUAGACACUCUGGGCCGCACGCGUACUACACUGCUGGCGCCACCCCGUCGCCUGCCCGGAAGGGCCGGCCAUCCGUGCGAACCGCCAGCGUGGUAGGGAUCGAAGCUUGGAAUUUUUCUUCGUGAACGAGGAAUGUCUUGUAGGUGUGCUUCAUUACAGCACGCCGACUGCGUCCCUGUCUUUUGUACACACCGCCCGUCGCUCCUACCGACUUGGAUGAUUUGGUGAGUUGUCCGGACCCCACAGCGCGAGCCGCGGGGGAAGCUCUGCGGGCCUAAUUGUCUGGAGGAAGGAGAAGUCGUAACAAGGCUGCU